ensembl:lncRNA
CUUUAAAAGAUUAAUGCUACCCCAACCUAGUUUAAAUCGUUCAACACUUUCUUAACCACUAGAUCAGAAGUGGUUAAGCCUAUAUUAAUGAUUUGUGGAGAGAAAAAUAUUAUCUAAAUAAUUUGGCUACCUCAGAUCUCGCUGAUCAGCCAAGACAUGUCUGGUAUGCCAAAUUUCACCUCUUUGUACCUGCACUGGAGCUAUGAAGCUAACCACCAAUUACUAUCAUGCAGCUGCAUGCCAAAAACAUUACACACUUGCCUCUAACAACAUAGUUUGUCUAAGUAAUAUCAUAAACAGUGUAAUAAAACAGAAUACGACUCUAUUAAAAAUGGUAAAUAUAUUUAUCACACGGAGUGAAUGCAUAUUCAAAAUGAUUAGCAUUACAGUUGUAAGAUAUGGAAUGUACAUAGGGGAAAUCCCUAAGACACUUAAAAUUAUGAAUGUAAUGAUUGAUGCUAGCAUUAACAUUAAUAUUGUAUUAUUCAUGAGGCUGAGAUAAAGCUUGGUGUAGGCAUACUCUCUGUCAAAGACGGUUCUUUCUCUGGAAUACUAACCUGACGGUACAAAGUGACAGCAUGUCAAGCAACAUCUGGACUGAGAUGUGGAUUGAGGUGACAAAUCCAAAAGAUUGGCUCAAUCGAUUCCUCUGACCAAUCUGUAGUGCAGGUGGUCCAAUGUUUCUUUAGUUCCCUACUCAUAAAUUCAGCUCCUAACACCAUGGUCAUUUUUUACAUUUUGUUUUUUAGUCUAAUCCGGACAUUUACAACCUUUCAUUAAAUGUGUAUAGAGACAUGACGUGAAGAACUCAAAGCUUGGAAGGGAGUAGGAAAAAUCGUUGUUAGUACUGUACAGUUAACUUGCUUUGCAAGUUAACUGUACAGUAACUGUACUGUAACUGUACAAGUCUGCCAACAAAGUUAGUACAAAACAGAAGGCGUAAUGUGUAAAUUAACCAAACCAUUUUCACAAUUUACUAGUUAGUUUAGAAGCAAUGGCAGAGUUGAAAAAGAUUUUCGUUUACAAGAUUUUAAAGAAAUUAUAAAAAAAAUUUUGUAAAUGUAUUUUCUUUUCUUUUUUUUUUUUUAAAGUAAUAAAUCAAAUGUCCAUUCCAAAUCAUUUUAUUACAAAAUACACACUUUAAACACACAGUAACAGGUUGGAGCUGUCGAUGGAUUUUUAAGUUAUCUGUUUGACCGCACCGUUGUGUUUUGGCCUAAUCAUCGCUGGAUGCCUUUACUGUUUUUUGUGAACUAUUUUGACCCUAAAUGGAAUGUAUUGUUUUUGUAAACAAUAAACCCACGACCCUGACCGUGUGCGGUUUGAAAGAUUGCUGAUACCUAAGCCUAGCCUACAUUGUUUUGCCCCCCAAGACAAAACCCUUGCUCUGUCCCUGUUUAGAAGUAAUAUAUACCUAGCACCAUUUUUCAUCAAAGGAAAAACCCCAAACAGAUUCUUUGAUGAUUUCAGCGUAAUGCACUUUUAAAUAUGUUAAUUAGUUGUCAUGAUCUAUCCACUAUAGUAGGCUCCUAGGCAAUAACUAAGCAUGCAAACUAAGCAGGCCAAUACUAGCCUAUAUUUGAGGUAAAUUCUCUUUAAAUUUCUCUUUCCUCCCAAGAAGCUGAAGUUUUCUGUGUGAAUAAGGUAAUCAGACAAACAGAAACUAGCUAGCUUCACGUUCAAAAGGAAGCCUCGUCACGUUUCGAGACUUUUUCUUCAAUGAGUUUGAUGUCUGAUUACACCCACAGGCAGCAGAUGUUGUUCCUCCGUUUUCCCUCUCAUGCAUUUCUUGUCGUCUUCUUUUUUUCAUCCCCCCCUCCUCUUGAAACCAGCCCCCUUUCUGGGUCCUGUCUUGUCCUGCUAUAUACAGUACGAAAGCUUCACAAAUCCCUCAUCUUUCCGUACGGACACGAGACUCCGUCCGUGGGAGACUCUUUUGGCGCGUCCUGAGAGAAAUCAUUUCCUCAUAGUUUAAUCUGAAAUGGGUUGUUUUCAGUCAGAUUUCCGUUCGUAGUUAAGGUCUGGACGGAUUUACUUGUUAAAAAAAGCUUCGAGAAGUUGCUACAAGUGGUAGCAUUGCUGUGCUGAGCUAUCGCUGGGCGAGCCGUUAGCGUCGCGCGCGCGCACGGACUGCGCGAGGCGUGCGGCGCGAGAUGUCUCACGAGCUGUCCGAUCUGAGGGAUUUAAAAAGUUUAAACUCGGAUUAUUAACGGAAUCUAACGGAAAUUUCGUCAAAAUGAACCGACGGCGUGGACGGAUAUUUUAAAGAGUAAAAGAGAGAGAGAGAGAGAAAUAUAUAUCUUUAUAUAUGUAUACAUAUAUCUCGAAAUUCUUGAGGUGAUCUUCACUUUGACGAGUUCUUAAGAGUGGAAACUUGCUCGUGGGAAUCAAUGCGGUUUCAUUCGAAAGGACGUGCGGUCCGAAACUCACCUAAACGUCAGCUCCUAUAUGUCGAAGAAGACCUUGAAGUGAAUCUGGAAGACACCUGAGAAGUUCAUAUUUCUUCUACAUAGCCAAAUCCUUAAUGCUAAACACACACACACACACACACACACACACACACACACACACACACACACACACACACACACUUUGCUGAAUUAGCACCUACACUGCUAAAUCAUAUUAGUGAAAGAUCAAACACAGUGUUAAAUGAACUAUGUCCUACUUUUGUCUGUUAUUAAAACACUGUAGGUUAUAAUUAAAGUAGCUGUAGGACUUAUUUCAACAUUAUAGGCGGUUUGGUUUAGCUUUGGGAAUUUUCCCACAUUAAUAUUCGGUAAGCAUCGCUCUAUUCCAAAUUUCAGUUGCAGGCUAAAACAAGAUAAGAGUUUGCUAGCCAGAUUUAUGCCCUAGCCUACCUGUUUAGCAAAUGCAGACAUCGACAUGCAAAGAAAACCCAAAAAGGUUCAACGUGUAAUACUUCUCAGAUGCAUCUUUUAUUAUUUACUUUCUCCGGCUUCUCGGCUAGCGUGUGUUUACCAUCCGACCCAUCAUAUUUGGCCACGACUGAAUGAGAGUUCGGCUUCAGGCGGGUGUUUCUCUUCACACAUCAUCUUCUAAGUAUGCCCGUUGUGUUUUGUUGAUUUUUCUAAUUGCUGGCUUGGAUGGAUUGUUCCUCUGCAGAAUGAGUAAAGGCUUUUUGUUUUGCACUUAUUUCCCAGCUGCUUGUAGAUUCCAGAGACAGCCAAAAGGAAGAGAGAGAGAGAGAAAGGAGAGAUUGAGGAAGAGAAAGAGAGAGAGGCAUUGGGUCAGAGGCCUGAAUGUGAUGACAAACAUGUUGGAGCCAAUAUCGAAAUUUUCCAGCUUUCAGAUGGAUUUUAUUAUUUACAUUCUUUCGCCGUAGUGUGUGUCAUGAAACAUUCAUUUACAGUGCAUUUAUUAAUUUGACACACAUUUUUACAUAUACAAUCACUCAAAAGUAUAAUUUACUGUAAAAUUUGGGCUGUUCAGGGGCCAAACAGAGGCACACUGGGAUUCGAUCUCAUGACCUUCUGGUUGCUAGUGCACAAGCAUAUGCCAUUGUGACAUGUAUAAACCUAACACUGCACAAAAAGGUUUACAAAUUUCAAUGCGGUUAUAUACAAUCUUAAAAUUUAAGCGCAUUUGUUCAAGGACCAAACAGAGGUUUGUCUGGGAUUUGUCCUCACAACCUUCUGGUCACUAUUGUAAAGCCUAAUGCCCUUUUGACAUAAAGUAAGAAACAAGGUUUACAAUAUACGUGGAGUAAAUACAGUACAGCUCUUGGAGUUAAGAGAGUUUGUUCAAGGGUAAAACAGAGGCUCACUGGGAUUUGACCUCACAACCUACAGGUCGCUAGUGCAGAGCCAUUUUGCACCAUUUUGACAUAUAUACAUCUAAUACCAUGCAAAAGGGUUACACAUCUCAGCAGGGCUAUGUACAAUCCUAGGACUUAGGGGGGUUUGUUCAAGGGCUAAACCGAGGUUUCUCUUGGAUCUGACCUCACAGCCGUCUGGUGACUAUUCCGAAGCUUAAUGCCCUUUUGACCCCACACACAAGGUUUACAAUAUAAGGGGGCUAAAUACAAUUUUAUGAGUUAAGAGAGUUUGUUCAAGAGUUAAACAAAGGCCCAAUGGGAUUUGACCUCACAGUCUUAUGGUCACUAUUGCAGAGCCUUAUGUACAUUUGACAUAUAAUAGGUUUACAAUAUAAGUGGGGCUGUAAACAGUCCUAAGAGUUAAGGAAUUUUAUUCAAGGGAAGAACAGAGACACGCUGAGAUUUGAGCUCACAACCUUACGGUCAGUAGUACAGAGCCAUAACCGCUGAGCAGUCACUCCCUUACAAUCUGUAACGACUCCUGCAUUUCUGUCAGUGAGUGAGUAAGCAAAUCAGUGAGAGUCUUUCAGGCACUACAGAUUGUCUGGACAUGCUAGGCUACGUAGACUUACUCUUCUAAUUUCAGUGAAAAAAGGGAGGAGACUUCAACUAUUAAUCUUUUUUUGUUCUCUCUCAAGCUAACCAUUCAAACCGUUUCCCAUCAAUCCUGGUGGUGAGCAUUCCAUUUAUUUCCAGAGUGAAAGUAAAGAUGUAGACGUCCCUGUUGCGGACAGAGCGGUUGUAUUUGAGAUUUACGGCUAGAACGACGGCGCAUGUGUUAUGGAAAACAGAUAUACAGGGAGACGAGAGUGGCACUGGAUGAAUGUAUCUCCAGGGCAUAGCUGCCAGAGCUGAGCAUCAGCUACUGAAGAAGCACUUAAUAAAAAACACAUACACACACACACACACACACACACACACACACACACACACACACAGAGGCAGCUAUUGGGUCUGUCCUAACCUGCACAGCUAUCGCACAAACUGAAAAUAAAGAUAAAAAACAAAUGUUACACAUGUGCCACUUCCUAACCUAAUAUCAGAUAUCAGGUGUUAAAAAAGGCUGUAAAAGUAGGAGAGGAUGAAAGCUUGAGAAUGAAGGCCAUUAAUGGGAAGCAUUCUCAUUCACUGCAGUGAUAAUGUUAUCCAGAGCAGGUCUCAGAACUGGGUCUGGACUUUCUCUUCCUUUGGACAGGAGAAAACAAAAAAAGAGCGGGAGAGAAAGAGAGAGAGAGAGCAGGGCCACCCAAACCUGUAAGAUCUACACGAUGAUGUCUGAUAGUCCCUUCACACGGUGGCUCUGGUGCUUGAUCUGAAAAUUCCAAAUAUCAGAAACACGUGUGCUGAGUUGCAACAGCAUUCCUGCACUGAUUGUGAAUCGAUAAGCUUGUGCAACUAAUUUCCUUUUCUGUGCUGUAAUUCCCCCGCCUUGUUCGGAGAGAAUGUUGAACUUGGCCUUUUUCCACAGGGUGUGUUGAUGAGUGGGAUGCUGCUAAUCCACACUGAUGCUGAACAAGGGAUCACAGAUAUAUCAUUGUUUAAUCAAGGCUUUGU